CGGCCCGUCGGCCGGGUCUUCGGCCGAGCCCUCGGGUGGGUCUUCGGCCGAAUCGUCGGCUGGGCCGUCGGCUCUGAGCCCGGCUGAGCCUGC
rnacentral:tRNA from 1 species